rnacentral:piRNA from 1 species
UCGGUGGUAGCAACAAGGCAAACUCUCCC